AUAGCGUAUAUUAAAGUUGUUGCGGUUAAAAAGCUCGUAGUUGAAUCUGUGUCCCGCGCUGUCGGUUCACCGCUCGCGGUGUUUAACUGGCAUGAUUGCGGGACGUCCUACCGGUGGGCUUAGCCCCUCACGGGGCGGCCCAACUAAUAUCCCAUCGCGGUGCUCUUUACUGAGUGUCGAGGUGGGCCGGUACGUUUACUUUGAACAAAUUAGAGUGCUUAAAGCAGGCUAUCUUCGCCUGAAUACUGUGUGCAUGGAAUAAUGGAAUAGGACCUCGGUUCUAUUUUGUUGGUUUUCGGAACCCCGAGGUAAUGAUUAAUAGGGACAGAUGGGGGCAUUCGUAUUGCGACGUUAGAGGUGAAAUUCUUGGAUCGUCGCAAGACGGACAGAAGCGAAAGCAUUUGCCAAAAAUGUUUUCUUUAAUCAAGAACGAAAGUUAGAGGUUCGAAGGCGAUCAGAUACCGCCCUAGUUCUAACCAUAAACGAUGCCAGCUAGCGAUCCGCCGAAGUUCCUCCGAUGACUCGGCGGGCAGCUUCCGGGAAACCAAAGCUUUUGGGUUCCGGGGGAAGUAUGGUUGCAAAGCUGAAACUUAAAGGAAUUGACGGAAGGGCACCACCAGGAGUGGAGCCUGCGGCUUAAUUUGACUCAACACGGGAAACCUCACCAGGCCCGGACACCGGAAGGAUUGACAGAUUGAUAGCUCUUUCUUGAUUCGGUGGGUGGUGGUGCAUGGCCGUUCUUAGUUGGUGGAGCGAUUUGUCUGGUUAAUUCCGAUAACGAACGAGACUCUAGCCUGCUAAAUAGGCGUACUUUCCGGUAUCUCGAAGGCCCCCGGCUCUUCACGGGGUCGGGCGGUUUUUACUACCGGCGUACAAAUAAAUCUUCUUAGAGGGAC
rnacentral:rRNA from 1 species